UUGCCCAGAGAGGCACAGGAUGCUUGGCGCGGUGCGAUUCGUCUCCAGGGAUUCUGUCGCGUCGUCUUCAAAUGAUGUGGAUCGCGAGGGAAAGACGGCCGAUGCCGAUGAUCCAGAGAUGCUUGCCAAGCGGAAGAACGCUGGCUUGGAAUGGAUGUCAGUGGCGCCAAGCAGGCCUCAACGAGCCGUCCCCAAGGAAGAGAUUGCUCCUUCCAAGGCAGAGCGCGACGAGAAACCUCCCUCGAAUUCAAAGGAGCUCAAUCCACACUGGAAAGAUGGCGGCGAAGGAUUUCCAGAAGAAGAACAUGUAGCUCGACGAGUUCCCGGAGGUGUCGGCGAUGGGGGUGCUAGUUGGCUUCUCAAGGGAUUAAAGCGUGCUCAAGAGCGUGCGGCACGAGAAGGAGCGAGUCUUCCAGAUGUUAUCAGUGAUCGAUGGGGAUCGUUUGAUGCGUUCUCUCGCGUAAGUAACAAGCGAGCGGCACAUUCCAACGCACAUCUCCAUGCUAUUCGCGACAGAAAACGUAAGUACGAGCAGGAACAGGAGGCAGGACGCUCAGAGGAUGAGCCUGCGAAAGAAGAUUCUCGGUCUGCGAGGGAAGGUUCUCGGAUGAGAGCUCCGAGGGUGGAUGGAUCACUCAAAUGGAAGUCACAGAGGAGGGAUACCAUGCGCUCCGAGGACUCUGCAGUCCUCAAGGCCGCGGCAGCGUCUUACAACAUAUUUGAGAACGAUGGGAGCUUUAUGGAGAAGUUUAAACAGAUGCAGGAGAAGACGGAUAGAGACAAGCCGGAUCAAUCGAGUGGUGGUGGUGAUGAUGCUGUAAAGAACAAGGUCGCUACCAUUCAGAGACGUGUUCGCGAAAGCAAGGAUUCAAACUAUGACAGAUCAGGUCAUGAUGCGGCAAUCCAAGGACGUGCUCGCGAAAGCAAGGGACCAGAGGUCGAUCAACCGACAGCUGAUGAUGAUCCUGUGAAGAGGAAGAUAGCUGCAAUCCAGAGACGUGCGCAAAACAAAGAUUCCGAUGGUGACAAGGUUAAAACUUCGGCUGGCGGCGAUGAUGCGGCGAUGAAGAAAAUCACUGCCAUCCAGAGACAUGCUCAAGAAAACAAGGAUUCCGAUGCGUUCCUUGCGUCAAAGAUUUAUCGCUCGAGGGAGAGGUAUCAAGCCGACGAUGAGUACGACGACGUUGGAAUCGAAAGCGAUGCUUAUAAGAAAAAGUCGGCAAGGAAGGGAAUGACGAAGGCCAAGAACAGCGCGGUCUCUCAGUACAAUCGUAUUCAGACACAGAACGAGCGCUGCCGGUAUUGCUUUGAGAACUCGUCGAGGCCGAAACAUCUAACAAUCGCGAUUGGCAACUUCACGUACUUGAUGCUUCCUCCUACGUCUUCACUUGUACCGGGACAUUGCUACAUUGUUCCUUCGCAACACGAAGGCUCUACAAGGAACGUUGAUGACGAUGUUUGGGAUGAGAUUCGGAACUUCAAAAAGUGCCUGCUCAAGAUGUUCAAGGAGCAAGAGAAGGAUGUGAUAUUUCUAGAAACGGCCAUGAAUCUCUCGCAGCAACGUAGGCAUUGUCUGGUCGAAUGCAUCCCCGUUCCUCCCAACGUACUCCAGCAAGGUCCGCUUUACUUCAAAAAGGCAAUCGACGAGGCCGAAGAUGAAUGGAGCCAGCACAACGCGAAGAAGCUUAUAGACACCAGAGGCAAGGGGCUUCGCUCCUCCAUACCAAAGAACUUUCCGUACUUUCAUGUGGAGUUCGGGCUGGAAGGCGGCUAUUGCCAUGUGAUUGACAACGAAGAGGACUUCGACAGCAACUUUGGUCGGAACGUUCUCAUCGGCAUGCUCAAGCUUCCCCAGGAGACGAUGCACCAGAAGGCAAAGCACGCGUCAUUCGAUCAUCAAGCGACUGCUGUGAAAGAGUUCCUGCAGCAGUGGAGGCCUCACGAUUGGACGCAAAUGCUCCAGUGAGCAAUGGAACUUGUACUUGUAUGAUAGAGUCUAUUCUUCUUUCUUCAGCCGUUGUUGUUGCAAGGCGCCAGUGAAGAACACCGGCACGAGCGUGAAUGCAGCCUCUACAACAAUCCCCAGCGCCAAGUAGUCGAAGUUCUGUGAAGAAAUACCGAGUAGCGCAGCGAGAGCAACUCCAAAGUAUCCGCUCGCCAGGUUGGCCAGGCACAGGCAGGCCGAGAAGACAGCCAUGAGCGUCCCCUCGGCUCCCGGUGGACAAAUCUUUCCCAGCAACACCGCGAAGGGAAGAGCCUUGAACAGGCCUAUGGCUUCAACUAGUCCCGCGAACAAGAGCACGAAGUACUCGUCCGUCACGCCCAGCAGCCGCGAGUUGAGCCGCUUGACGAGGAGAACAUCGAGGAGCAUCGAGGAAGCUAGAACGAUCUGGAUGCUUGCGGCCAGCUUCGCGAGUGGAACGUCCUUGAGGUAGCUGUUGAAGGAUAUAGAAGCCAAAAGAAGCCCGAGCUGAGCCACGGCCUUGGAGAGGCCGAGGUAGAACGAGUCGACGCGGAGAACCUGGGUUUGAUAGUAGAAGACGCUGCCGAGCAACGAAGGGAUGAUGGUGACCGACAAGGUGAACCAGAGAAGUGGACGGAGUAUGUCCGGCCUUUUCACCAGCGACCUCCUGCGAUGCAACCACCGACUUCUCGCUGACGGAGUAUGAGACGGCAAAGUUGAGCGUCACCACCAUGAGGAACAUCGAGAAAAUGGUCGUGGUUUGGAGCUUACUCAGUGCUACCCCGGCCAGCAAGUUCCCCAGCGUUGCCCCCAGCGAAAAGGCGACCAUUGAGAAGGACUGGAGCUCACCUGGGGAGCUCCCCCGUCGCUUGCCACACUCGGCCACCAGAGCAUCGUUUGCGACCUCGCCAAUGGCGACGCCAAAGUUGCUGAGAGUGAGGUAGAGCGCGAGGAGGCCGAUCGAGUUGGCGACUUUGGGGAGAAACGCGAUACUUCCCCACGAGAGAAGUUGUAUCAGGCCUGCAAGGAGUGAAAGAAUGUAAGUUUUCUAAGAACAAUUGGUAACACCGACCAAGAAUCUAUCUAGAAGAAACUUGGAAGAAGAUCUAAGAACAGUACAUCAAAGAAAACGCGCAAGAGAAUCAAAGAAGACGUA